rnacentral:rRNA from 1 species
UAAGCAUAUCAAUAAGCGGAGGAAAAGAAACCAACAGGGAUUGCCCUAGUAACGGCGAGUGAAGCGGCAACAGCUCAAAUUUGAAAUCUGGCUCUCGGGCCCGAGUUGUAAUUUGUAGAGGAUGCUUUUGAUGCGGUGCCUUCCGAGUUCCCUGGAACGGGACGCCAUAGAGGGUGAGAGCCCCGUCUGGUUGGAUGCCAAAUCUCUGUAAAGCUCCUUCGACGAGUCGAGUAGUUUGGGAAUGCUGCUCUAAAUGGGAGGUAUAUGUCUUCUAAAGCUAAAUACCGGCCAGAGACCGAUAGCGCACAAGUAGAGUGAUCGAAAGAUGAAAAGCACUUUGAAAAGAGAGUUAAAAAGUACGUGAAAUUGUUGAAAGGGAAGCGUUUAUGACCAGACUUGGGCUUGGUUAAUCAUCUGGGGUUCUCCCCAGUGCACUUUUCCAGUCCAGGCCAGCAUCAGUUUUCGCCGGGGGAUAAAGGCUUCGGGAAUGUGGCUCUCUCCGGGGAGUGUUAUAGCCCGUUGCGUAAUACCCUGGCGGGGACUGAGGUUCGCGCAUCUGCAAGGAUGCUGGCGUAAUGGUCAUCAACGACCCGUCUUGAAACACGGACCAAGGAGUCGUCUUCGUAUGCGAGUGUUCGGGUGUCAAACCCCUACGCGUAAUGAAAGUGAACGCAGGUGAGAGCUUCGGCGCAUCAUCGACCGAUCCUGAUGUUCUCGGAUGGAUUUGAGUAAGAGCAUACGGGGCCGGACCCGAAAGAAGGUGAACUAUGCCUGUGUAGGGUGAAGCCAGAGGAAACUCUGGUGGAGGCUCGCAGCGGUUCUGACGUGCAAAUCGAUCGUCAAACAUGGGCAUGGGGGCGAAAGACUAAUCGAACCUUCUAGUAGCUGGUUUCCGCCGAA